rnacentral:lncRNA from 1 species
CGGCGGGGCCGGGCACCGCGGGGACGCCGUGGUGCACAGCCGCCCCUCAGGGCGCCGCGGCCGCAUCGUGCAGCGCCUCAGCUCGGGCCGCCCCCGCCGCUGCUGGGGCUCACCCUGCCUUUCCCUGCUUCAUCGACCCCUGCUCAGGCUCACCCUGCCUUUCCUUGCUUCAUUGACCCCUGCUCAGGCUCACCCUGCCUUUCCCUGCCUCACCGAGCCCUGCUCGGGUUCAUCCUGCCCUUCCCUGCCUCACCGAGCCCUGCUCAGGCUCACCCUGCCUUUCCCUGCUUCAUCGACCCCUGCUCGGGCUCACCCUGCCUUUCCCUGCUUCACCGAGCCCUGCUCGGGCUCAUCCUGCCCUUCCCUGCCUCACCGAGCCCUGCUCGGGCUCAUCCUGCCCUUCCCUGCCUCACCGACCCCUGCUCGGGUUCAUCCUGCCCUUCCCUGCCUCACCGAGCCCUGCCCGGGCUCAUCCUGCCUUUCCCUGCCUCACCGAGCCCUGCUCGGGCUCAUCCUGCCCUUUUCUGCCUCACCGAGCCCUGCUCAGGCUCAUCCUGCCUUUCCCUGCCUCACUGACCCCUGCUCGGGCUCAUCCUGCCCUUCCCUGCCUCACCCGCCCCAUCUCAGUCUCACCUGACCCCAGAACAGUGUCCGGAUCUGGACCAGUGCCCGUCCCCCUGUGCUGGGCACUGCUGAGGCCCUUGAGUGCCGUGUCUAGUUCUGUCCCUCACUACAAGAGGCUCAGUGUGUGCACAGAAGGGCACGGAGCUGGACAAGGGGCGGGGAAGUCAGCCCUGCAGUUUCUGUACAAGAAGGUGCAGGACAGCCAGGCGCUGGGCAGGAUCCAGCGGAUAUCAGCCAUCAGCAGCCUCCAUCCUGGAGCCUCUCAGUCUGCUGAGAGCCUCAGGUACCCAGCAGCUUCUGCUGAAGAGUCUGGGCUUCAUCAGAGCCGUGGAAUAGUUUGGGUGGGAAAGGAUAUUUAAGCUAUCUGUUCCACCCCCUGCCAUGGGCAGAGACACCUUAACCAGACCAGGCUGAUCCAAAAC